GGUCCCGUUGCCUAGCGUCCGAAGGCAGCCGACUCAUAAUCGGUCACAGUUAAUGACACACCACUGGUUAGAAUCCAGUCGGGACCACCA
rnacentral:tRNA from 2 species